AUCUAGCUGGGAAAUGUGGUAGUUUUAAGACAUGUCUGCAAAUUCUUUCAUCUUUUUCUCAUCAAGAUGUGGGUUCUCUAUUCCUCACCUUGAACCUGGGCCCACCUUAAUGAUUGGUUGGUCACCAGCAUAAAGAGGAAGUGAUAUUCUGUGACUUCCAGGCUGGGCCAUAGAAGCCAGGCAGUUUCCUCUUGGUUCCCUGGAUCACUUGCACUGGAGCUGCCACGUAAGAAGUCUGACCAUCCCGAGGCCUCUAUGCUGUGAGGAAGCCCAAAUUAGUCCACAUGGAGAUGCCCUGAGUCUACAAGAAAAGAGAGGACAGACAGAGAUGCUCCUCUAGACACCAUUUCGCUGAAACCACAUGAGGGUUCACCAAGCCAAGACCGCUGAGCUGAGCCUUUCCCAGGUUCCUGACCACAGAAACCAUAAGAGAUAAUAACGUGAUUGAUGGUGGCCAGACACAGUGACUCACACCUGAAAUCCCAGCACUUUGGGAGGCUGAGAUCUAUGCCCCUUGAUAUGACUUUGCAGUUCCUUCUACUAAGAAGAUGAAUCCAUUUCUCCACCCGCUGAGUCUGGGCUGGUCUUGUGAUGUGCGUUAGUCAAUAGAAGUGGCUGAAGUGAUGGCGCGCCAGUUUUUAGCCUACACUUCAAGAAGCCUAUGGACUUCCACUUGCUGUCUUGAAACCCUGUUUGAAAAAGGUUCCCUGAGGACAAGGCCAGACUAGCCUGCUGGAGGGUAAUCUCCUCCCCUGGAGUGUGGACCAGAGUUAGUGACUCACCUCUAACGAAUGAAAUAGCUCAGUCUGAUGGAAGCAGCUGCCCUGUUGUGAGCUCCCCCUAGGGAGAGGCCCACAUGGGAAGAAAUCAAAGUAUGCCUCAAACCAACAGCCAGAGGGAAACUGAGGCUUCAGUCCAACAAGCCAGAAGGAACUGAAUCCCACCAACAACCACUUCAUUGAGCCAGUAAGUGGCUCCUCUCCCAGUCUUGAGAUGGCUCCAACAUCAGCUGACACCUUAAUUACAGCCUCGUGAGGGACCCUGAGCCAGAGAAUCAGCUAAGCCAUGUCCAGAUCCCUAGUCCUUCGAAACUAUAAAACAAUGAGAAAGCUAAAGCUUGGUGAGAUUACGGAAGCCUACAGUUACACAGCUGACUCCCUCCAGAGGCCCCAUCCACACCCACUGUUGGACUCCUGCUACUCUCGGAGGCUUGGAGUUGGUUUCUCCUCCCCCAAAUCGGUCUCAACACUUACCCUUACUUCCUGCUCUUCGUGGUCUCAGCCUCACUGUUCUUCGUGGACUCAUUUUUUCUCUUCCCUUUGUUUUAUUUUUGUCUCUUUCUUUCUUUUUUGGCUUCAGUGGAGUCCUAGCCUUAAGGUUUUCCUUCUCUAACCCCUUGUUCCCCUUCCAUUCUCUUUCCAGCCCUCUGUAAGCUGCAGCACAGUGUUUACAGUUAAGCCAGCCUCCAUUGAGGCCUUCAGUUGCCGAAGUUCAAAAAAAUCAACCUAGAAUAACAACGUAUUGUUAUAUAAAUGGCAUCUCAGAAAUAAACUAGUCAAAUACGCUUAUCCCCACAGUUCACAUGGGGGAAAAGCUUGCUACCUGAUGUUCUAAUACAUAAUAGUUGUUUUCUCAUUUAUCAACUUUCAUCCCCAGUAUCUGUAAGCUCCAAGAAGGCAAAGACUUUCACU
rnacentral:lncRNA from 1 species